rnacentral:rRNA from 1 species
UACGUAGGGGGCAAGCGUUGUCCGGAAUCAUUGGGCGUAAAGAGCGUGUAGGCGGUCCGGUAAGUCCGCUGUGAAAGUCAAGGGCUCAACCCUUGAAUGCCGGCGGAAACUGCCAGACUAGAGUCCGGAAGAGGCGAGUGGAAUUCCUGGUGUAGCGGUGAAAUGCGCAGAUAUCAGGAGGAACACCGACGGCGAAGGCAGCUCGCUGGGACGGUACUGACGCUGAGACGCGAAAGCGUGGGGAGCAAACAGG